rnacentral:rRNA from 1 species
UACGUAGGGGGCUAGCGUUGUCCGGAUUUAUUGGGCGUAAAGAGCUCGUAGGUGGUUCGGUAAGUCGGAUGUGAAAUCCCCAGGCUCAACCUGGAGGGGUCAUUCGAUACUGCCGUGACUAGAGUUCGGUAGAGGAGUGUGGAAUUCCUGGUGGAGCGGUGAAAUGCGCAGAGAUCCGGAGGAACACCAGUGGCGAAGGCGACACGCUGGGCCGUACCUGACACUGAUGCGCGAGAGCAUGGGGAGCAAACAGG